rnacentral:lncRNA from 1 species
CAUACUUGUAUACACUUAUGCUGAUGAGACCAUGAAUUUCUUCCUCUUUUGUAUUUCCAAGAGGGAUGACCACACAAUUUUGAUACACAUUCAAGUUACAUCAUAAUGGCUGGGACAUACAUGGAUAUCAUCAAGUUGAGAGGGCAAAUUGGAAAAAGUUUUCCUUUCUCCAAGAAGAAGAAGAAAAGGGCAAUUCUGGUAGCUGCUAGCUGUUUGCCUCAUCUAGGAACUUAAACUUUACAACAACUAACCUUGAUAUGAAUUACACAGGACAAGAUGCUAUUUAAAAGAAGCAGCUAAAGGACUGUAAAAACCACAAGGGAGUGAGGAAACCUGGGUUCGGAUACCAGCUCCACAGUUGCACUUCAAGCGGAACACUGAUCAGUUUAAGUCUCAUCAAUAAAACAGGG